rnacentral:rRNA from 1 species
CGCCUCUUGCAAAAUAAACGAAUAAGAGGUCCUGCCUGCCCUGUGACCCUCAGUUUAACGGCCGCGGUAUUUUGACCGUGCAAAGGUAGCGCAAUCACUUGUCUUUUAAAUGAAGACCUGUAUGAAUGGCAAGACGAGGGCUUAGCUGUCUCCUUUUUCAAGUCAAUGAAAUUGAUCUUCCCGUGCAGAAGCGGGAAUUUUAUCAUAAGACGAGAAGACCCUAUGGAGCUUUAGACACCAAGACAGACCACGUCAAAUACCCUGACCAAGGGGCUGAACUAAAUGGACCCUGCCUUAAUGUCUUUGGUUGGGGCGACCACGGGGAAAUACAAAACCCCCGCGUGGAAUGAGAGUACCACCUGCUCCCAUAACCAAGAGCCUCCGCUCUAAUAAACAGAACUUCUGACCAAUCAGAUCCGGCAAUGCCGAUCAACGAACCGAGUUACCCUAGGGAUAACAGCGCAAUCCUCUUUUAGAGCCCAUAUCGACAAGAGGGUUUACGACCUCGAUGUUGAAUCAGGACAUCCUAAUGGUGCAGCCGCUAUUAAGGGUUCGUUUGUUCAACGAUUAAAGUCCU